rnacentral:misc_RNA from 1 species
UUUCACCUUCAGGGUAAACGGUUACACAGAAAGAGAGAGAGAUUUCUGAGAUUGAGGGGAGAGAGAGUGAGUUCCUGGGGAUGAAAAACAGGAGAUUCCGGCGACAACUGGAAGUCCGAUUACCCACUACCGGAGGGCCGGACAGUCAAUUUCAAAGAGAGAAGCAGUGGUAAAAAAGACAAGAUAAUUACUAAUUAAUUUUUUUGUUGAGUCUUGAUUUUCCGUUUUAGGUAAUAUUACUGCUUGAAUGGUGCUUGUUCUUUUGCAAUCUUUACUCGAAUCUUCCAGGUUUUUUCCUUUUCUUUUAUAGGCGUUGUACGGAAGUCAUUUUCUGAUUCCUUGCUUUAAAAAAGGCUUAAAUUUACAUUAGAAUUAAUUUAGUUGUUAGGGGAUGCUAAGAUUAUCAUUUUGUGGGAUUGCAAGUUUAUGUGGAACUAUAAAUUGCACGUAAAGUUUGAAUCUUCACAAUAUCUGUAUCUUUUAGAAAUCGUUAUUUGUCUAAUUUAGUAUGCAAAUCUGAGGAAGGACUGAAAUUUGGGCUGUUUUUGUCAUGAGCUAAACGAAUUGUGACUUGUGAUGCCAAGGAUUGAUCGAUGAUGUAACUUCAGUUUUCAGGACUAUAUAGACCCGCCUCAGUUAGGGUUGUUACUAAUGGGUUGGACUUGUAAUAUGGGCUUGAGCUGGUUUCUUCUUUCAAGCUUUGUUGUUAGAUCAUGGGUUUGGAUGAUGGGUCUAGGUUCAUUAAGGCUUGUCUUAAGAACUAAUUUGUACUAUGCUUUAAG